rfam:Ipomoea nil DNA, scaffold: scaffold0465, cultivar: Tokyo-kokei standard.
GCGCAUUUAGUGUAGUGGUAUCAUAGUACCCUCCUACGGUACUGACCGGGUUUCAAUUCCCCAAAUGCGCA